rnacentral:tRNA from 1 species
UGUGAUAUAGCUUAACGGUGAAAGCAUUUGCCUUAUACGCAAAUAGAUGAAGGUUCAAGUCCUUCUAUCACAA